rnacentral:rRNA from 1 species
GACGAACGCUGGCGGCGUGCCUAAUACAUGCAAGUCGAACGCAGUGGGGACGGGUGAUUAACACGUGGGUAACCUCCCAUCAGAGGGGAUAACACUUGGAAACAGGUGCACAACCGAUACUGAUGGAUGGACCCGCGGGGCAUUAGCGAGUUGGUGAGGUAACGGCUCACCAAGGCGACGAUGCAUAGCCGACCGUAGAGGUGGACCGGCCACACUGGGACUGAGACACGGCCCAGACUCCUACGGGAGGCAGCAGUGGGGAAUCUUCGGAAAUGGACGAAAGUCUGACCGAGCAAUGCCGCGUGAGUGAAGAAGGUUUUCGGAUCGUAAAACUCUUUUGUUAGAGAAGCGGUAUCUAACCAGAAAGCAACGGCUAACUACGUGCCAGCAGCCGCGGUAAUUC